CGGAAUGAGAACACUCUAAACCCUUUAACGAGGAUCAAUUGGAGGGCAAGUCUGGUGCCAGCAGCCGCGGUAAUUCCAGCUCCAAUAGCGUAUAUUAAAGUUGUUGCGGUUAAAAAGCUCGUAGUCGAAUUUGUGUCUCGCGCCGACGGUUCAUCGUUCGCGGUGUCAACUGGCGAGUCGCGAGACGUCCUGCCGGCGGGCUUAGCUCGCAAGAGCGGUCCAACUCAAUCCCGCCGCGGUGCUCUUCACUGAGUGUCGAGGUGGGCCGGCACGUUUACUUUGAACAAAUUAGAGUGCUUAAAGCAGGCUAAAACUUCGCCUGAAUACUGUGUGCAUGGAAUAAUGAAACAGGACCUCGGUUCCAUUUUGUUGGUUUUCGGAACCCCGAGGUAAUGAUUAACAGGAACGGAUGGGGGCAUUCGUAUUGCGACGUUAGAGGUGAAAUUCUUGGAUCGUCGCAAGACGGACAGAAGCGAAAGCAUUUGCCAAAAACGUUUUCAUUGAUCAAGAACGAAAGUUAGAGGUUCGAAGGCGAUCAGAUACCGCCCUAGUUCUAACCAUAAACGAUGCCAGCUAGCGAUCCGCCGACGUUCCUCCGAUGACUCGGCGGGCAGCUUCCGGGAAACCAAAGCUUUUGGGUUCCGGGGGAAGUAUGGUUGCAAAGCUGAA
rnacentral:rRNA from 1 species